rnacentral:rRNA from 1 species
UGGGGAAUAUUGGACAAUGGGGGCAACCCUGAUCCAGCGAUGCCGCGUGUGCGAAGAAGGCCUGCGGGUUGUAAAGCACUUUGGUUGGGGAAGAAGGUUGGGCGUCGAAUAGAUGCCUGAAUUGACGUUACCCAAAGAACAAGCACCGGCUAACUACGUGCCAGCAGCCGCGGUAAUACGUAGGGACCAAGCGUUGUUCGGAUUUACUGGGCGUAAAGGGCGCGUAGGCGGCAAUUCAAGUCAUCUGUGAAAUCUCCGGGCUUAACUCGGAACGGUCAGAUGAUACUGCUUUGCUAGAGUGCAGAAGGGGCAAUCGGAGUUCUUGGUGUAGCGGUGAAAUGCGUAGAUAUCAAGAGGAACACCUGAGGUGAAGACGGGUUGCUGGGCUGACACUGACGCUGAGGCGCGAAAGCCAGGGGAGCAAACGGGAUUAGAUACCCCCGUAGUCCCUGAGCGGGCUGGCAAGGCGCAU